UCCACAAUCGACUCUGCCCUGAUCCCCAUCGGAUGCAAGACUUCUUCAUAAUCGGAAACUGAUACUUUAUAUGGAGGCCCGCCUUCAUGGUCACUUAUCUGAGAAACAACGGGAAUCUCAAAACCAAGAAAUAAAAGGAAAUAAUGUCACGAAAUAGCCAAUCUACCAACUCAAGGACAAUUAUUACAGUGAGCUACCAGUCUGUUUAGCAUAUAGUAGGUGUUACCU
rnacentral:misc_RNA from 1 species